rnacentral:rRNA from 1 species
GGGGACAACAGCCAGAAAUGGCUGCUAAUACCGCAUAAGCCUGCUGUGCCGCAUGGCACAGCAGGGAAAACCACGGUGGUACAGGAUGGGCCCGCGUCUGAUUAGUUAGUUGGCAGGGUAACGGCCUACCAAGACAACGAUCAGUAGCCGGCUUGAGAGAGUGGACGGCCACAUUGGGACUGAGACACGGCCCAGACUCCUGCGGGAGGCAGCAGUGGGGAAUAUUGCACAAUGGGGGGAACCCUGAUGCAGCAAUGCCGCGUGGGUGAAGAAGCACUCCGGUGUGUAAAGCCCUGUCAGCAGGGAAGAAAAUGACAGUACCUGGACAAGAAGCCCCGGCUAACUACGUGCCAGCAGCCGCGGUAAUACGUAGGGGGCAAGCGUUAUCCGGAUUUACUGGGUGUAAAGGGAGCGCAGGCGGCGUGGCAAGUCAGAUGUGAAAACCCGGGGCCCAACCCCGGGAGUGCAUUUGAAACUGCCAUGCUGGAGUGCCGGAGAGGUAAGCGGAAUUCCUAGUGUAGCGGUGAAAUGCGUAGAUAUUAGGAGGAACACCAGUGGCGGAGGCGGCUUACUGGACGGUAACUGACGCUGAGGCUCGAAAGCGUGGGGAGCAAACAGGAUUAGAUACCCUGGUAGUCCACGCCGUAAACGAUGAA